CCUACGGGUGGCAGCAGUGGGGAAUAUUGGACAAUGGGGGGAACCCUGAUCCAGCGACGCCGCGUGAGUGAAGAAGUAAUUCGGUCUGUAAAGCUCUAUCAGCAGGGAAGAAAGGAAUGACGGUACCUGACUAAGAAGCCCCGGCUAACUACGUGCAAGCAGACGCGGUAAUACGUAGGGGGCAAGCGUUAUCCGGAUUUACUGGGUGUAAAGGGAGCGUAGACGGCAGUGCAAGUCUGGAGUGAAAGGCGGGGGCUCAACCCCCGGACUGCUCUGGAAACUGUACGGCUGGAGUGCAGGAGAGGUAAGUGGAAUUCCUAGUGUAGCGGUGAAAUGCGUAGAUAUUAGGAGGAACACCAGUGGCGAAGGCGGCUUACUGGACUGUAACUGACGUUGAGGCUCGAAAGCGUGGGGAGCAAACAGGAUUAGAUACCCCAGUAGUC
rnacentral:rRNA from 1 species